rnacentral:rRNA from 2 species
CAGCCGCCGCGGUAAUACCAGCACCCCGAGUGGUCGGGACGUUUAUUGGGCCUAAAGCAUCCGUAGCCGGUUCUACAAGUCUUCCGUUAAAUCCACCUGCUUAACAGAUGGGCUGCGGAAGAUACUAUAGAGCUAGGAGGCGGGAGAGGCAAGCGGUACUCGGUAGGAAGGGGUAAAAUCCAUUGAUCUACUGAAGACCACCAGUGGCGAAGGCGGUUUGCCAGAACGCGCUCGACGGUGAGGGAUGAAAGCUGGGGGAGCAAACCGGAUUAGAUACCCGGGUAGUCCCAGCUGUAAACGAUGCAGACUCGGUGAUGCAUUGGCUUGUGGCCAAUGCAGUGCCGCAGGGAAGCCGUUAAGUCUGCCGCCUGGGAAGUACGUACGCAAGUAUGAAACUUAAAGGAAUUGGCGGGGGAGCAC